UNGCCUUUCGUGUUACUUGACCAGUUGGA
rnacentral:piRNA from 1 species